UCGAGAAUCUUCCACAAUGGACGAAAGUCUGAUGGAGCGACAUCGCGUGACUGAUGAAGGGCUUCGGUCUGUAAAGGUCUUUUAUGAGAGAAGAAGUUUAUUGACGGUAUCUCAUGAAUAAGGGGUUGCUAAACUCGUGCCAGCAGCAGCGGUAAUACGAGUACCCCGAGCGUUAUCCGGAAUUAUUGGGCGUAAAGGAUGUGUAGGUGGUUAUAUUAGUCUUGCGUAAAAGCUUCCGGGCAUAACCCGGAUGAGGCGCAGGAAACGGUAUAGCUAGAGGUUGGAAGAGGUAAGCGGAACUCUAUGUGUAGGGGUGAAAUCCGUUGAUAUAUAGGGGAACACCAAAAGCGAAGGCAGCUUACUGGUCCACACCUGACACUGAAACAUGAAAGCGUGGGUA
rnacentral:rRNA from 1 species